UGCUAACGCAAUUGAUCGAAA
ensembl:piRNA 21ur-8151 ncRNA